rfam:Selaginella moellendorffii unplaced genomic scaffold SELMOscaffold_39, whole genome shotgun sequence.
GUCGAUGUAGUAUAGUGGUGAGUAUUUCCGCCUGUCACGCGGACGACCCGGGUUCGAUCCCCGGCAUCGGCG